UCUCACUGCUGGAACUCAAUACACAUUCACUCUCUACUCUGUGUUUGAGAACGUCAGAAGCAGUGGAGUCAGCAUUACUGCAGUCACUGGACCUAAUUAUGUUGUUGGAAUGAAGAUCAAAUUAAGGUCAUUUGUUCAGCUGUCAGACUUGGAUAUACAGGAUAAGAUGAAGGAGUUUUUCAGACGAUAUGGAUUAUUGCCACAGUUUUCAUUCCUCAAGGUUAAGCCUGUUCAGCCAUGACACCAGAGGAGAAGACAUGAGAUUAAGAGAAAGUGACUGGAUCUGUACUGUUAUAGAAAAAUUAUAUUUUUAAUUACUUUCCCUAAACAGAAUCAAAAAUAAAUAAAUAAAUUCUUUUUUGGGGGUAUAACUGGGAAAGAGCAUUGUACAUCUUUAUCCUUUGUACCUUAACAGUAGAAGAGGUCAUGAUUUAGAUGUGUCACCACUUUGCCAUUGUCUAUUAAAUUGGUUGGGGAUUUGGUUAUAAGCUUCACUGUUCUCUAUGGUCUGAGAGAGUACAAGCAGAGCUCUAUCUUAUUUAACCUGAGCCAAAGGGAAAUAUACAAAUAGAUCCAGGCUAGUUAUGAAAGAACCUGCAAUCCAUCCACACCAAAAUAUUUGCCAAAGAUGGGUCUGUUUUACUUACUUUUAUCUUAAAUUUUAUUCUGAUCUAUGGGAAACCUCUUUUAAAAUUAUAAGUAAGCACUGUUAAACAACAGCAAAAGACUGAAAGAUGAGCCAUCUGAAAUGUAGUCGUUCCUUGGACUACAAGAUUCAAGAUUCUUUAUUUGCCACAUGCAUGGUUAUACGAGUACAACACGCAGUGAAUGUGCCCUGAAGCACUCCUAGACUGUGCAAACAGAGAACAUUAUAUACAGUAAGUGAAUAUGUA